GUCUGUCCGUCUGUCUCUCUGAAGUCACUUUUCUUUGACAGAUUCUCAUGAUCAUCUUUGAUAUUUUCAAAAGGUUACUUGGCCGGUUAAUGAACAACUGAAUUUCUUAAAUCUCAACAUUUUCCGUUACUCUGUUAACUCUAGCUAACUGUUGGUAUACGCCACCUAGGGGAAUGUGGGUGAUGUUGUUUAAACGGUUUUCUUGCAUAGUUUGGUGUAAAAUUAUUCACAGAGCAGUUGGUUCAAGCGUCCAUGUCCGAGAUCAACACUCCGACACUCCACAUCUCAUGUUUUUAUACAGUUAAAUGAUUUGCAUUCAAGUCAAUGACAUUAGGAUGACACUAGUCACAUUAUAUGCACCUCUGUACAGAACAUUUUAUCGUCCAAUUAUUGGAUGAAAAAUGCGUAGCAAUACAUGGCUUACAAAGCAGAAGUCUCAAUGGGCACGCAGUAGUUAUGGUAACAUGCGUUAAGCCAAGUUUAUGCUUGGCUUAGGCUCAGCCAUAUAGGCCUACAUAUCUGCAGUCUAAAGCACAAAUGCGUCUCUCCUGUCAAUGUUCUGGCAGAUUCCCUGCACAGGGUCACGUGAGACCGGUAUGGAAGCAUAUUGCAUUGAGAAAAAAUAUUCUGCUUUUGUUUUUCUGAAUUGAAGAGAUACCUCAAAUCCGCCCCAAUCUGGCGGCCGUCUCUCUCGGUGCGCGUUACCACCAACUGCAGGCAAUCUCGAUGCGUUACCGCCCUCUGCUGGCCGUCUUUCUCAGUGCGCGUUUCCAACAACUGCUGGCCGUCUCUCUCGGUGCGUUACCGCCCACUGCAGACCGUCUCUCUCAUUGCGCGUUACCAUAGAAUGUCUAAUAGGAAGACAACUGGGACCUCUACGGAUUGUCAAAUCUCCUACCCUUUAUGCCUCCUUUCCUUAACAUUUGUGGAAAACGUCAUCGGGUCAAUGAGAGAUGAGCAGCUGCCUCCUUUUGAACAUAGGAAAAGACAGCACUGUUUAAAAUGAAUUCGACUCCACUUUUCCUAACCGACGUCAUUGCGCGACGGCGGGUAUUGCUGACCUCUAGCGUGGAACUAAAGCAAGCGCUCUUUCGAUCCGUGCGUUCUUGUCAUAUUGAUUUCAACCCUGUCUCCAACAGUGAGAAUCACUUAAGUCGGAAUUGGCAAACGUGAAUAUUUAGAUACACAGAACCAAUAGAGUAAUAAAAAGGUUUUGAUUGACAUCGGGAAGAUUUCCAAAAAGAUGGAUUUAUUUUGAACUUAUCCUGAAUGAAGACUCCGGGCGCUUAAGACUGCUCCCUUUCUACUGCACCAACACGUCUAUCUGCCCUCAGUGUCUGGGCUGGUCUGAGGUUGGUCAUGUGAUCAGGGUUUACCAGAAGAGAGUCUUUCGUAGGGAUGUCAUCAAGAAGCUCCUCCCGGACCACUUCCAUGCACUCCUGCAUCGCCUCGACAAAACCCUACACGACUGUGCUCAGUGUCCGAAACGCUCCAAAGAAGUCCUUCAGUUUGAGAAGAAAAUCAAGAGGUUCCUGAGGAAGAGGAGGGAGGAAGGUGUGUUCAAGGCGGUGAGAGAGUUCCCCUUCGUCCUCCGAUGGGUCGAUGAGUUGAGGGAAACUCUUCAUCAUUGUUCCUGAUGAGGGGGACUCCAGAGUCCCUGAUGAUGAAUCAUUCAAUCUAUUUAUUUUAUUAGGUUUUAAAAAGCAGUAUUCAAUAUUUUUUUAUUUAUUUUAUUUAAUUGUCAAUGAAUAAAUUAUUAUUUUUAUCGGUUCUGUAUUUAAAAGUUUUGAUACAAUACAAUUUUAUAUGAAA
ensembl:lncRNA